UACGUAGGGUGCAAGCGUUACUCGGAAUUACUGGGCGUAAAGCGUGCGCAGGCGGUUUCGUAAGUCUGUUGUGAAAUCCCCGGGCUUAACCUGGGAAUGGCGAUGGAGACUGCGAGGCUAGAGUUUGGCAGAGGGGGGUAGAAUUCCACGUGUAGCAGUGAAAUGUGUAGAGAUGUGGAGGAACACCGAUGGCGAAGGCAGCCCCCUGGGUCAAAACUGACGCUCAUGCACGAAAGCGUGGGGAGCAAACAGG
rnacentral:rRNA from 1 species